GCAGCAGCAAGGUAGAUUAUCCACCUGUUUCGAAUUCUCUUAUGGCAGCCAUAAAGAGGUCACAAGCGAAUCAGAGACGACAGCCGGAGAAUUUCAGUUUUUAUCAACAACAGCUUCAGAAUCAGUCAUCUUCUUCAUCUUCAUCAGUUCCAGUAGUCAAGGUUGAGUUACGGAAUCUCAUAAUAUCUGUACUUGAUGACCCUGUUGUAAGCAGAGUAUUUGGGGAAGCUGGCUUCAGGAGUUGUGAUAUUAAGCUUGCAAUUCUUAG
rnacentral:misc_RNA from 1 species